rnacentral:rRNA from 1 species
AUGCAGGUCGGUGUCUGUGCCCUGCUGCUCGCGGCGGCGCUGCUCCUCUCCGCACCGGCCGCCACAGAGGCGUACGAUUCGCUAGAUCCGAACGGGAACAUCACCAUAAAAUGGGAUAUUAUGUCGUGGACUCCUGAUGGUUAUGUUGUGAGUAGCACUUCAACAUCUGUGUCUCUCAUCCCAACCUAUGAAUUAGGCCACCAUUGA